AGACUGGGAUAACACCUCGAAAGGGGUGCUAAUACCGGAUAAUGUCGAGAAGCGGCAUCGCUUUUCGAAGAAAGGAGGGAAUCCGCUAUAGGAGGAGUCCGCGUCCCAUUAGCUAGUUGGUGAGGGUAACGGCCCACCAAGGCGACGAUGGGUAGCCGGCCUGAGAGGGUGAACGGCCACACUGGAACUGAGACACGGUCCAGACUCCUACGGGAGGCAGCAGUGGGGAAUAUUGUGCAAUGGGGGAAACCCUGACACAGCGACGCCGCGUGAGUGAAGAAGGCCUUCGGGUCGUAAAGCUCAAUAGUAUGGGAAGAAAGAAAUGACGGUACCAUACGAAAGCCCCGGCUAACUACGUGCCAGCAGCCGCGGUAAUACGUAGGGGGCGAGCGUUGUCCGGAAUUACUGGGCGUAAAGAGCACGUAGGCGGCUAUAAAAGUCAGAUGUGAAAAACCUGGGCUCAACCGAGGGUAUGCAUCUGAAACUAAAUAGCUUGAGUCAAGGAGAGGAGAGCG
rnacentral:rRNA from 1 species